GUACCCAUUUGGGGUAGUGGUUAUCACAUCCGCCUAACACGCGGGGGAAAGGGCCCGGGUUCGGGAAAACCCGGUGGGUACG